GACGAACGCUGGCGGCGUGCCUAAUACAUGCAAGUCGAGCGGACGGAUGGGAGCUUGCUCCCAGACCGUCAGCGGCGGACGGGUGAGUAACACGUGGGCAACCUGCCUGUAAGACUGGGAUAACUCCGGGAAACCGGGGCUAAUACCGGAUAACUCUUUCCCUCCCAUGAGGGAAAGCUGAAAGAUGGCAUCUCGCUAUCACUUACAGCUGGGCCCGCGGCGCAUUAGCUAGUUGGUGAGGUAACGGCUCACCAAGGCGACGAUGCGUAGCCGACCUGAGAGGGUGAUCGGCCACACUGGGACUGGGACACGGCCCAGACUCCUACGGGAGGCAGCAGUAGGGAAUCUUCCGCAAUGGACGAAAGUCUGACGGAGCAACGCCGCGUGAGUGAUGAAGGUGUUCGGAUCGUAAAACUCUGUUGUCAGGGAAGAACAAGUACCGGAGUAACUGCCGGUACCUUGACGGUACCUGACCAGAAAGCCACGGCUAACUACGUG
rnacentral:rRNA from 1 species